UACGUAGGGUGCGAGCGUUGUCCGGAAUUAUUGGGCGUAAAGAGCUCGUAGGCGGUUUGUCGCGUCGUUCGUGAAAACUCCACGCUUAACGUGGAGCGUGCGGGCGAUACGGGCAGACUUGAGUUCGGUAGGGGAGACUGGAAUUCCUGGUGUAGCGGUGAAAUGCGCAGAUAUCAGGAGGAACACCGGUGGCGAAGGCGGGUCUCUGGGCCGAUACUGACGCUGAGGAGCGAAAGCGUGGGGAGCGAACAGG
rnacentral:rRNA from 2 species